GAUGAACGCUGGCGGCGUGCCUAACACAUGCAAGUCGAACGGAGAUUACAGACGGAAGUUUUCGGAUGGAAGUUUGUAAUUCUUAGUGGCGGACGGGUGAGUAACGCGUGGGCAACCUGCCCUAUACAGGGGGAUAGCAGCUGGAAACGGCUGGUAAGACCGCAUAAGUCGGCGGAAUCGCAUGGUUUUGUCGGGAAAUGAGCAAUCAGGUAUAGGAUGGGCCCGCGUCCGAUUAGCCAGUUGGCAGGGUAAAAGCCUACCAAAGCAACGAUCGGUAGCCGGACUGAGAGGUCGGACGGCCACAUUGGGACUGAGACACGGCCCAAACUCCUACGGGAGGCAGCAGUGGGGGAUAUUGCACAAUGGAGGAAACUCUGAUGCAGCGACGCCGCGUGAGUGAAGAAGUAUUUCGGUAUGUAAAGCUCUAUCAGCAGGGAAGAUGAUGACGGUACCUGACUAAGAAGCCCCGGCUAACUACGUGCCAGCAGCCGCGGUAAUACGUAGGGGGCAAGCGUUAUCCGGAUUUACUGGGUGUAAAGGGAGCGCAGGCGGUUUUGCAAGUUGAGAGUGGAAGCAGGGGGCUCAACCCCUUGACUGCUCCCAAAACUGUAAAACUUGAGUAUGGGAGAGGCAGGCGGAAUUCCUAGUGUAGCGGUGAAAUGCUUAGAUAUUAGGAAGAACACCGGUGGCGAAGGCGGCCUGCUGGACCAAAACUGACGCUGAGGCUCGAAAGCGUGGGUAGCAAACAGG
rnacentral:rRNA from 1 species